GUACCAGCAGUACCAGGAUGCGACAGUCGAUGAAGAAGGAUAUGAAGAUGAGGAAGAGGAGACUGCUGACUGAGCUUCGAUUUCUUUUCUGGGUCGGAGGUGUGCAUUACAUUUCUUGUGAGAGGAUUGUAUAUGUUAUGAUAUAUGGAUACAAUGUUUUUAUUUAUUCCCUUCGAGUUUGGUAUUUGCUUUGUAUGAUGGAUAAUGUAUUCGAUUGCGAU
rnacentral:misc_RNA from 1 species